rnacentral:lncRNA from 1 species
CAUAGUAUACAAUUUAUUUCUCCAUGGGCAACAAGACAUGCCAGCAACUGCACGGCUACUUCUCCAUUUAGCCAUUUUUCCUCCUUUUCAGGACAGAGAAUAAAGGGUCCCUGUAUUCAUGCCUUCCUGGAAAUCUCAGUGCAAGGCCCUAUCAGGAGGUUUCCUGGAGCAGCUAAGGGAACAGCUAGACCACCCAGGAAGAAAUGACAGAAGCCUACCUGACUUCCAAUCUGCUUGCUUCAUGGUGUAAUGGGGGCCUAGACAGAAGCACCCCAAGGACACUUACAACAACUGUUCUGCCAGCUCUAGUCCAUUGGAGAAGAUGUGCCAACAUACCUUCUCACCAUCCCUAGAGCCCAACCUUGCUAUGGAAAGGUCAAACCCUUACCAUUGGCCCUGCCAAGGAUCCCCAGACAGAGAAGCACAAUGGAGGCCAUAAAUUAUGGCUUCUUAUCAUGGCCUCCACAUAACUUAAACUCUGGAUGGUGAAUGAAAUCUGGGGCCAAGUCUUAAAGGGUCAGGGUAGCCAAUGAGCAUAACUCAAUAUUUGUGUUUCUAAGAGAAAACCACAGAACCUCCAUAUCCAUGGCAAACUGGCCAGCCACAGGCUGGAUCCAGUGUGCAGUAGUGUUUUGUGUACACCAUUCACUAUUUGUCUACUUGGGUUAAAAAUGUUUUAUAUUAGUUAGCAAUGUUUAAACAUUGGGAGAAUUAAAGGGAAAUGAAAACGUACUUCCCACAAAUACUUGCACAUAAAUAUUCACAGCAGCAUUGUUUAUAAUUGCCCAAAACUAGAAACAACCCAAAUAUCCAUCAACUGAUGAAUGAUAAACAAGUUGUGGUAUAUUCAUCCAAUAAAACAAUAUUCAGCAAUAAAAAUAAACAAAUCAGGCACUUAAUAUAAUUGAAUAUCAAGGUCAUUAUGUUGAGUGAAAGAGGCCAGAAAAUAAAAGUAUACACUAUUUGAUUCCAUUUAUAUAAUAUUCUAGAAAAUGAAAACCAGUCUAUACUUACAGAAAACAAGGUGGUAGCUUACAGAGAUGGGGUAGAGGGAGGGAGAGAUGACAGAGAGGCAUAAAAAAACUUUCCGGACAAUGAAAAUGUUCUGUAUUUUAAUUGUGGUGAUGGUUUCAUGGAUGUACAAGUUCAUCAAAUCUCAUCAAGUUAAAUAUAUGCAUUUAUUUUAUAUUAAGUGUACCUCAAUAAAGCAGAAAAAUUUAAAA